rnacentral:pre_miRNA from 1 species
AUGGAGAUGCUUUGUUGAUGGCCAUCUAAUCCCUCAUCUCUCUGGGAUUGGGAUUAGAUGACCAUCAGCGAACACUUCCAU